AAUGAACGCUGGCGGCGUGCUUAACACAUGCAAGUCGAACGAGAACGGGCUAUAGCUUGCUAUAGUUGUCAGCUAAGUGGCGCACGGGUGAGUAAUGUAUAGGUAAUAUGCCUCUUACUAAGGGAUAACAAAUGGAAACGUUUGCUAAUACCUUAUACUCCUUAUUAACAGAAGUUAAUAAGGGAAAGAUUUAUUGGUAAGAGAUUAGCCUGUAUUGUAUCAGUUAGUUGGUGGGGUAAUGGCUUACCAAGACUAUGACACAUAACUGGUUUGAGAGGAUGAUCAGUCACACUGGAACUGAGACACGGUCCAGACUCCUACGGGAGGCAGCAGUGGGGAAUAUUGCACAAUGGACGAAAGUCUGAUGCAGCAACGCCGCGUGGAGGAUGACACAUUUCGGUGCGUAAACUCCUUUUAUAUGAGAAGGUAAUGACGGUAUUAUAUGAAUAAGCACCGGCUAACUCCGUGCCAGCAGCCGCCGUAA
rnacentral:rRNA from 1 species